UACGUAGGGCGCAAGCGUUGUCCGGAAUUAUUGGGCGUAAAGAGCUCGUAGGCGGUCUGUCGCGUCUGCCGUGAAAACCCGAGGCUUAACCUCGGGCCUGCGGUGGAUACGGGCAGACUAGAGGUAGGUAGGGGAGAAUGGAAUUCCCGGUGUAGCGGUGAAAUGCGCAGAUAUCAGGAAGAACACCCGUGGCGAAGGCGGUUCUCUGGGACGGUACUGACGCUGAGACGCGAAAGCGUGGGGAGCGAACAGG
rnacentral:rRNA from 1 species